rnacentral:lncRNA from 10 species
CCCGGCUUUCCUCCCUUGGUGGUGAGAGUUGGGAUCAGAAACUCUUGGGCAGGCUGCCUUCCUCUCUCCUCAUCUGAGCCCCAUUCGCCCUGAUCUCCCUGCUGACAAGAGCUGACAUCCACGUGCAGCUGGGAUUCCCUGUACAUCUGAGCACCACCUGCCCGGAAACCCCCCAGGACCCAAACAGAGAGGAAGGCCUCUGUCCUUGGCUACACCCCUGCCUCUUCUUCUUCCCAGGAAGAACCUCACCUCUCAGGGGCUCUGCUUAACCAAGAUCCACUUAAAGCAAUGCGAAAUCCACAGGACAGAAGAAACCUGGUUCUGGAAUCCCCUCUUGGAAGUGAGCUGCCUGCUGAUUAAUAAUACUUGUUGUUUUGGAUUUUAUGUAAGCUCAAAAUAUACUUUAUGGGUGUGACCCAAUGAGAUUUGAGGAUUUGUUUAUUACAGAAACUAGCAUUGCCCUAACUAAUAUAUAUCCAGUCACAUUUCUUUCCACUCUAAUACACAAAAAUCUCUAUGCUGCUCAGAAGAGUUUCCAUCUCCCCCACUACUGCUUAUAUGUCUUCUGCCUAGAAUAUCUUCAAUUGCUUUCUUCCUAUUUUAAACUAUUCAUCUUUAAGGCCCAAGCUAAGUGCCAUCUCUUUGUUUGUAUAUUUGUUUUAUUAUUAUUAUUAUUAUUUUUUGGAGACAAGAGUCUCGCUCUGUUGCCCAGGCUGGGGUGCAGUGAUGAAUCUCAGCUCACUGCAACUUCUGCCUCCCGGGUUCAAGUGGUUCUCCUGCCUCAGCCUCCCGAGUAGCUGGGACUACAGGCACGUGCCAUCACACCUGGCUAAUUUGUUGUACUUUUAGUAGAAAUGGGGUUUCACCAUGUUAGCCAGGAAGGCCUUGAUCUCCUGACCUCGUGAUCUGCCCACCUUGGCCUCCCAAAGUGCUGAGAUUACAGGCCUGAGCCACCGCGCCCAGCCUAUUUUUAAUUUUUGAGUCUUGUUCUGUUGUCCAGGCUGGAGUGCAGUGGCACAAUCACAACUCACUGCAGCCUUGACCUCCUGGGCCCAAGCGAUCCCACCAUGCCUGUGCUCCCAGCUACUUGGGAUGCUGAGAUAGGGGAUUUUUUUUUUCUUUUAUGUAGAGCUGAUGUCUUGCUAUGUUGCCCAGGCUGGUCUCAAACUACUGAGUUUAAGUGAUCCCCCUGCCUUGACCUCCCAAAGUGCUGGGAUUACAGGUGUAGGCCACUGUGUCUGGCCUACAUCUCUUUGGUGAAGCCUUCCCAUACCACCUAUCUUUCAAGUCAACUGCAGUAUCUCUGUCUAUCAUCUGUUUAUUCAUUCAUUCAUUCUCUUAACAGGGUUUAUGAGCACCUUCAUGAAUGUCCACUGCUCUAUGCUAAGCACUGAAUAUUUAGAAGAAGACAAAUCCCAGGCCACACUAUCUGAAAGUUUAGUGAAGACAGUAGAUGAAACAAAAAAUAGACAUCACAAUCCACUGUAAUAUGUGCUAAGUUUGGCAAUGCACAGGGUGCUGUGGUUACAUUGAGAAGGAAUGAUAGGCUCAGUUUGGGAAGAGCUAUAUUCAAUAAAUAAUCACUAUUGUUAUUUUGCCAGGUCUCAUAUUUAGUCUGUUAGCAAAAGUCAGUGGGCAAUCAACGGCCCUCUGGAUGACCCAUGAUGCACUGUCUCUCUUUUUUGCCUCAUUUUUCACCAUAUGCUACUCAAUGGUUCCAGCUUGUCAUCAUCAUAUCAGUUACUAGAGAAAAAACUUGUUCAGAGAAGGGAAGACUUAAAUGAAUGGGCAACAGGCCUAAUGAGAAAGGGGUGUUGGGUAUGGAAAGCUGUAGAGGGAAUCUGACAUUUAUUGAAUGACUACUGUGUGCCAUACACUACUGCCUUUUAUUUCACUUAAACAGCACAACAAUCCUGUAAACUUAGUAUUAUUUUUGUGCAUAUUUUAUAGAAGAGGUAACUGAGGUUCAGCAAUGUGACAUCACUUGCCAAGUUCUUGUAUCAAGGAAGGGAUGGAGCCCCUAGGUUUAAAGUUUUCCUGAAACCAAGCUGCCAACCACAAUGCUGCUAUUGGUCAGGGUUCUGGUAGGAGAG